rnacentral:lncRNA from 1 species
GAGCUAUGGAUACUCUCUAACAGCCUAUACAUAGAACAAAACCAUUUUGUUCUAUCUUACAACCAAAGGUUGAACUGAGAAUGUUACAUAUACAUUAACCAACCAUCUUUGAAGAACUCGUGCUUUUACCGCCUUUGGAAGUUAAAUGCCUUGAUGGCAAAGGCAAAGAUAAAUAAGAAAAGUACUGUAAACCCAACAAUCACAGCUGCAACCACUCCUAGAAAAUCAUGUUCGAAUCCAAAAUAGUCAUUCAAGUAUUGUUCCACUGUGUCACCUGUGUCCUCAAAUCUGUCCUGUAUAUCUCCAAACUGUGAUGUAACCAAUCCAUACAAAGUCCAUGCAACUGGACAUGCCCAAUAGUACCAUCUCCACCACACAGGAAUCCUCUGUAUUCAUCAUGGAAGAAAUGCAACAAAAUGAGUCAUUUCCAUAUCCAUGUGCUAAAGAUAGUUGCAAUUUAAAGAAUAAUGAGUUGAGAGAACUUACGGUUCGAGGAACUAUAAAACCUGAAAAUAAGUUCCAUAAUCCAUAAAAUGCUGCAGCAACGAUGGCAGCAAUAUGUUGAUUUGGUGUGGCAGCCACAGCCAUCAUGCCAUAAAAGGUGAAGUACAGUAAGGUGAAGAACAUGAAGAACAGAUACCAGAAGAACUUAGCAGCUGUCCAUUCAAAUCCAAUCAUUGCAUAAACUAUAACACCAUACACCACAGCUUGUGCAAAGACAUAUGGUAUCUCAACUAGAGCCUGCAACAAGAGAUGAAAUUUGAUUAAUAAAACCCAUAAAGUGUUAGAGAUAGACAGUCCAUAGCAUAAGAAAACUAGUUACAUGUGCAAAGGCAUAUGGCAUAGCUGAAUAUAUUCCUGCAGCUCUUUCUCUGUAAAAGACAGUCCGUUCAACUGCAACGACUGGCUGCACCGAUGAGGAAUUUUGAACCCCAAGGAAGAGAACAGCAGCAUACAUAGAACCCAUUGCAUUACUCAAAUCUUGUUGUUUUGUCCUGCAUUUUACCAUGUGAAGUAUGAAUUAAAGUUGAUACAGAGAAACAUACUGAGUUCUCAAAAUCCUGUACUGGGUUCAAAUUACCUUUUGGUGCCGAGAUCCCAGAACAUUGUCCCAAAUAUCAAGGCUAUGAAAGUUGUGAAGAAAAAUCUCACUGCCGUGUAUGGUGGAUUGCGCCAAUAUGACCUACGCUGUUUCCAUAAGCAUGCCAUACAUUGGGUGAAGAAGGACUGGGAGUAUUGAGUAGGGAAAUAGAGGUCCUUUGAACCAGGGGCAGGUUGGCUCAAUUCUUUAAUUAAAUCUUUGUUUCUCCUGAAACAUAUGCCACAUCAGAAAAGGCUUCAAUAACCAAUUCAAGCUUGCAUGAUGAACUUUGAGAUGUGUAUACAUGAGAUUUCAAUAUCAUAAUGCUUUCAGAUAACCUAUAGUUGAAUCACCUGUAUAGGUUCGAAUUUUUGUAUAUUUCAGUGAAAUCCACCCCCAACAAGAAUUCUUGUGCCGAAGUGGUAACUUCCAGCAUCCAAGUUGCAGGGUUAUAACCACCUUUGAUUUUACUCACUCCUUCAAUUCCCUUAAUGAUAGCAAGUCACAUGUAUUAGUAAGCACUUGAUAUGAAUUAACUCAAACUAAAGUAUUUGCUGCUUAUAGCUUUUACUUUAUCAUGGCAGCUUACCUCAAAAUACUUUAUCAGACAAGAAGAAUGUCUACCCAGUAGUCCCACAUAUAUCUCUUGUCCUCCUCGCUUCAGCAGGAGCAACUGCAAAUCCAUUUUAAAUAUUUCAGUACUUAUAUGCAAAGCUCAUAGAAGGGAAACUAUAAAUUCUUUCUAUCCAUUAACAUUUCCUACCUCAUCAAAGGCUUCAAAGAUGUCAAUACUUGGCUGAUGGAUGGUGCACACAACUGUUCUUCCUGUGUCCACUGUGUUCCUGACUGUUCUCAUAACAAUUGCAGCAGCUCUUGCAUCUAGCCCUGAAGUUGGCUCAUCCAUGAAUAUUAUUGAGGGAUUUGCCACAAGCUCAACUGCAAUGGUCAGCCUCUUGCGCUGCUCUGUUGAGAGACCAUUUACACCUGGCAACCCAACUAGUGAAUCCUUCAAUGGGGUCAGUUCCACGAGCUCCAUGACUUUCUCAAUGAACAUCUGUAACCAUUAGAUAGGAUUAGAAAUUGUUUAAAAAAAAAAUGCGAAGCCAUAGCAGAGAUGGUAAAAAAAUUGACACUGCUUGUGACUCUUUUCAGUUAGCAGGUUGUGAACAAGUUUCUCUAGUCUUAUUAAACAGAUCAGUUCAUGGUUGCCAAUGCUCAAUAACACCUAUUAGCAUGCAUGAACUUCACCAACUUGGAUUCCAGGUCAACCAAAUUUGAACCAGCACCUUUCCCCAGGGUGAAGUUCAAGCCAAACUUGAACCUGAUCUAAGCCCAACCAAGUUUGAAAAAUCAAUUCUAGGGCUUUACUUGUUCAGAGCCCUCAAUUGAAUAAGACAAAUGUGGAAAGAACUCAGGAAGACCUCACCUUUCUAGUUUUAGAAUCCACAUCAGCAGGCAACCUCAGCCAAGCAGAGUAGAGCAAGGACUCAUGGAUAGUAACAUGAGGAGAGUGGAUGUCAUUCUGCUCACAGUAUCCAGAAAUUCGAGUAAAAGUCUCUUGCUUCUUUGGGUAGCCAGAAAUGUUGAUGUUACCCUCAAUAUAUCCACCAGUUUUCCGACCAGCCAGUACAUCCAUGAGAGUGGUUUUACCAGCACCGCUAACACCCAUCAGAGCUGUAAGAACACCAGGCCUGAAAGCACCACUCACCCCCUUUAGAAGCUUCAAUCUGUCUUCAAGGACACCCUGACUUUUCAUUUCCUACAAAUUCAAUUCAAACAACUUAGUUCUCAUUUUCGGUUUAUUAGUGCUGCUAAAGCAUGUACAUUAUUUGUAUUAAUAUGGAGUUACCUCUGGCAUGUCAACUGAGUAUCUAAUAUCAUCAAAGGUGAUAGAAAGUGGUUGGAAUGGAAGAACCAUUCCUCUUUUGGUGUUACGUCUAGCCUCAGCAAUGGCUUCUGCCCUCACAGAUGAGGAUGUGGAUGAGAUGCUUCUCCCAAUUUCGUCUCUCCUCUCUGCAUGUUAAGUUUAAAAUUAGUGAGCCAUGUAAAACAUGUGGUUAAAUGACAAGAACAAAGGCACACAUGCACCAUGAAUGAGUUUCAUCACCUGUGGAUGCAGUUUGGUCAAUCGAGCCUCGUCUAUGGGAUGAUAACUCGAUCUUUCCUCCAGUUUUGGAAUUCUCAGACUCUUCUGUUAUAACAGCUUGAGGCUUCUCAAAUGCUGCACAAUUUGCACAAAUCUUAGUACACUAAUCUCCAAUAUUUUAGGAUUUUCAACACAGAGAAUGUAAGGAUACCCACCAUUUAGGUAAGUGAGAGCCACAGUGUAACAGAAGUUGAAGACUAAAAUGAAUCCAAGCAGUGCCCCAGCUCCUAUCCAGUACCAGUAUGCCUCUGUGAAGAACCCGCGAGACUUCAAUACUGCUACUCCAAGGGAUUCUGUUGAAUUGGUUGAAGAAUUCUGAAAAAUGGAAAUACAUUCAAUCAUGACACAAAUAAACACAAAUAUUGAUAUGAAACAUUCAUAAACUUACUUUGCUCCAACUCUUCCCAAGGAAUUCAUUUACCACUAUUGCGUUCUGUGCAUACAUCAGAGGGGAAGACCAGUAACCCCAAAUCCACCAUUUCUUGACAUUUUCUACAGCAAUGACCAAAUACAAGAAGGAAACAAAAAUUCAUUAUUAGGGUUUAUGAACAAGAAGGUCCUAGUUUCCUAAAAAAAAUCUUUCCUCCUUAUACCUCGUGACAGGACAAAACCACCCAAUGCAAAGAGCAAAAGUAAUGAAAAUGACCCAAAUGUGUUUGCAACAAUCAUGUUUCUACCAGCUGCUGCAAUAAAUCGAAACAAUGCAGAUGCCAUCUGAUUAACAAGCACGAGGAGAAGAUAUUGUUUAAACAGCCUGCAAUAAGAAGAUUUGUUUAUUGAGCAUUGAUCAUUUUGGAACAAAGAAAACAUUUGAAACAAAUCUGGACAUGUUUCUUUUACCUUCCCACAUUUGGAUCAAAUCCAAUGACAUAAUAAGACAUGAACACCCAAACAGCAACUUCAACAAAUGUGAUGGGGAUCUUGAGGAUCCAUGAGGAGAGAGCAUAUGCCCAUGCAGGGUAGAAUAGUAGGCCUCUUUGCUUGUAAAAGACAGGAAGUUUUGCAAUGGUCAUGGCAAGUUCUGACAUUCCAUUAAACAUGAUCAUGACAACAGUGAAGAACAAAGCACCCAUGUAAAUGCUUCCAUCAUCUGUUGAAUUUUUGUGCAUCUCAGUUCUUAGGAAGAUUGUCAUGGAAAUUGCUGCCAUUAUUAUGAGCUAAAAGAAGAAACAAAAAUAAUGAAUUACGAUCAAAUGUACAAAAUUAAAAGCCACUGUUAUGAGUAACAACAAUAAUAAUACUCACUUGGGUGAGUUGUAAAAUAUAGACAAAUGAAUUCCUCUUCAUCAGCCAGUACUCUCUUGAGAUGCAAGCAUCCAACAGUUCCUUCUUUCUAACACCAUAUUUUUCAGUUUUCAAAGCAGCUGGGUGGCUUUUGGUCUUGUCGAAUGGAGUUGCAAGCUCAUCUCCUACUUUCCGUCCACUGUGAAAUGACUGGAAUGCCUCAGCAAAUUGCUUGACUGUGACAAAACUAUAAGGCUCAUCUUUACGUGCCCAAUACUGCUGCUGAUCUUUCCUAGAUGUUACCUGUAAUCAAUUUUAAAAUUCAUGUUCUAGCUUGAUUUUUUCUAAAGAAGGAAAAAAAAAUAUGAGAAGAUGCCUAAAGGUACAAAACUAUUAGCACUCACUUCUUGUAGGAAGUCUGCCACACCCUUCCUUUCAGGACAUCUGAAGCCCAUGGAUUCAAAAAAGUCAAGAACGUCUUCACGAGGACCCUGAUAAACAAUCUGGCUAUCAGAGAGGAGAAUGAUGUCAUCAAAAAGAUCGUAAGUCUCAGGUGCUGGCUGCAGGAGAGAGAUGAGAGCAGUCCCAUUGAGAAUGUGGAUGGUUUGCCUGAGAGAAUUCACGAUUUGAUAAGUUGUCGAGCUAUCCAAGCCAGUAGAGAUCUCAUCCAUGAACAGUGCCUUCGAUGGUCCAACCAGCAUCUCCCCUAUCAUUUAUAUAUUUCACAGUUGAAUUAACUUAAAUUAAUGAACGAAAAAUUCUAAUUUAUUUUAUUUGGUUGGAAACCAAAUUAUCCUACCAGUUGUGACACGCUUCCUUUGUCCUCCAGAAAUACCCCUUAUCAUUUGAUCCCCUACCAAGGUGUCUGCACAGACUUCUAGUCCCAGAAUCUGUAAAUUUAAGUGUAAAUGAAAAUAAACAAAUUAUGACUUAGAAUUGGGUUUUCUCAGAAAUCUGCAUUCCAUCAUUGAAAGUUCUAUGGUUAUGAUACCUUCAGUGUAUAGUCAGUGAUCACAUUCUCCUUCUGGCCUUCCGUUGCCGCUGCCUGAAAUAUUAAAAACCAAUAAUGUAAAUCUCACUCACCAUCAAACCAAUAAGUACCUUAAGAUAUUCCAAGGACAAAAGAUUUUGCUCUGCAGAACUGGUUAAAAUUUCACUCAAAGUAGCUUCUGUCUCACCUUCAUGAAGACAUCGAUAUCAGGAUCAGGCUUAAUAUUUGCUGCCUUCUCUCUUCUUGAGAGCUCUGCUAACAUGUCUGCGAAUAGCCAAAUAAAAGUCAACCUCCUGGCUUAUGCAAAUUUCAUAUAACUAAAUUCACAAGCUUCAAAAACAAAGAAAAUAAAAGUAAAAGGCAAUGAAUGGUUUAGACCAACCAUAUCGAUCUCCAACACCCUGGCAUCUUGCAGAGAAGGCCAAGGUUUCCCGUACAGUCAUUUCUCCUAUAUGGGUAUCAUGUUGGCUGAUGUAGGUUGCAGUUCUCUGGGGUACAAAUUCAUUCAUGCCAUGACCAUUGUAUGUCACCUUUCCCGUAACCUAAAGAAGGAAUUUCAGUUUCCAAAUUGGAUAUGAGAUUAAACAGCUGAAAAUGGAAUAUUCAUUAAAGAACAAAAGCAAUAAUUUUUUUUUUCAUUCAACCUUUAGACUGGAAUCAAGCUUUCCGGACAAAGCCAAUAACAGAGUGGUCUUUCCAGAACUGGGAGGACCCAAAAGCAGUGUCAUUCUGCAGAAAAAAAAUAUGCACAAAAGAUUGAGUAUGGAUCUUCAGGAUAUUCUAAAUUGGAGAAAGUAAAAAAAUCAAUUUGAUAUAUAUAUAUCAAUUAAUUUUUUUUCAAAAAAAAAAAAAAAAUCAUAUUCUCACCUUCGAGGUUUGAUGAUUCCACUAACAUCGUGAAGAAUAGUGAAUUUCUUCUUUCUACUCGGAAGAAUCCGAAGAGUGUUCAAGAUAUCCUUGAAAACAGAAAGAAAAAUUAUAAUCUAAAAACAAACUUACCCAAGAGAGUAUUUAUUGCUUAGCCAGUGAUCUGUAUUUGCAUUUUAGUUACCUCAAUUUGAUUAAAAGCAGAAUUAAUGAAUGAAGGCAAAGCUCUGCUUCCUACAUGAGCUUCUGCAUCAAUGGUAAGAUGCUCAAAUCUAACUUCAAUUUCGGGAAGAUCAAUCCCAACUCUGAAAAAUGAAAUAGACAUGCAAACCCAUUACUAAAAAGUCAAAGGAAGAUGUUUGGUUGUGAAGAAAAUGCAGGACUAUCAGUCACAUUUAAGGUGAAUUCUUUCUUUUCCACUGUUUUCAAUGUUAAAAAAGAAAAAGAAAAACGGCAAGAAACGCAAGAGAAGAGGAGAAAUCGCACCUAUCUAUACGAUUCCUGAGCUUCAACAAGAACUUCUCAUUGUCCUCUUCGGCAAUUUUCACCAACCGCUCCACUAAGUUCUUCUUUUCCUGAAACCCAAGGUUGUGUAUAUCAACUUCACUGGCCUCACCCGCCGAACCCAUCAGCAAGCCUUUCCUCAUCCGAUUGUAGGUGGGAAGUUUCUCGAGUGCGGCCCAUUUCAAAGCUUCCUCAUCAUCUUCAUCCCUUGAAGAACGGGAGGAAACCUCCUCACCAGAGUUCCUCCAUAUGGAAGAACUGUCCUUCCUUAAACUACCACCGGCUCUAUAAAUUUCACCCGUUGCCAUUGCAACACGAAACGAGGAACCCUCCCUGCAAAACUAACCAAACCCACUAAAACCCAGAAACCUUUCCUACAAAUUAGGAGGAAAAAAACCCAAAUUUCGAGCUCUGGAGCUGAAAAAGCUCAAAAUCAGAGAUGGGUCGCCUCCACCCUUUCCUCUAUGCAUGCAAUGCCGUCUCUUUGCAUUGCUAAAACUUUGUUCCAUGUUGGAAAAAUGUGAAGAAUGGAAGGUUUAUAUAUUGAUUGGAAGGACAGAAAAUGAGGCUGCUCAGAAGUUUGAAAACCGCUUAUUUUCCACUGACUUCAUCUAGACAAGUUGGCGGGGAAAAUCGAAUCUAGAAGAGGCUAUGAAAUUACGAAUGUCUCCAUUUUUUACUCUUCAAAUUCUUAUUUUACAUUUUCACAGUUCAUAAUUUUCAGCCUUCGAGUACAUUGUUUGUCAAGUAACUUUAAAGAAAUGUAAAUUGUUAAAUGUUGUCUACCUGCCGCGGCCUGUUUAGUUCCAGUUUUCAAAAAUGGUUUUUUGUUAUUGAAAAUAAAAAACACAAAAAAACUUAUUUAGGAAAGGGGAUGUGUUUUUGUUUUUGUUUUUUUUUUUGUGUUUUCGGUAUUCUCAAAAACCACUUUUUUUUAGAAUAAUAAAAAAAUAUAUUUUCAUUAUUUUUUCAAUAAAAUAAAUUAUUUUUCGUGUUUUUUUUUUUUCUUCUUUUUGUGUUUUCCUAGGUGCUUUUUAUGUUUCCACGAAGGUGAGUUCCACCUUCACAUCCACUCACAAACCUUUUCUUCUUCCUUAAAUUAUUAAAAUUAAUAUACUUAUACAUUAACUUUCAAACAUGUUUUUUGUUUUACUUAUUCUAAAAAACUUUUUUAUUAAUUCAAUAAAACAUGUUUUUUUUUUUUUGAGAACAAAAAUUAUUUUCCUAAACAAUUUUCAAAAAUAGCAACCAAACAGACCUUAACUUUUCGGUUUAGCUCAAAUCCCCCUAAAUUGCAAAUGUAAUUUUUUGUGGUUAAAAAGAUGAGGGAAAAGUAGGAUUGAUUUACUAAUAUGAAAAUACACGGAAAAACAAACCUCUUCGUUUAUUUAAAAAUAAUUUCAAAUACAUACAUUUUUUAAUGAGUCAUCUAAUUAUUCCCUAAAUUAUUUAUUGUCAUGUCAUUAAUAUUAAUUGAUAAAUGGAUUCUUUCACGUCAAUGUUUAUCUUCCUUUUAAAUUUAUUAUUAUUAUUAUUAGUAUUAUUAUUUUAUUUGGGAUUUUUUUUUCACUGCUUUUAUCAUUCAUACUCUUCAAACUAUCUCACUUUUAUGCAAGGAUUGAAAUAUCGGUAAACACGGAUAUAUCGGUACUUGGAUUUUACGGAUAUAUCGGAAAUAUCGGAGAAAUAUCGGUGGAUAUUUUUCAUCAAAUAUCGGUGAGACAAAAAUUAUCCAAAAUUGAUGGGAAUGUUUAAAAAAAGCCAAAGAAUGAUAAAAUAAGCAAGAAUAUGCAUGUUAAAGUUAUUUUAUAAGUGUAAUUGACAUAAAUAUGGUCAAAGAAAAAAAUAUCGGUAAAUAGUUUACGAUACUUGGAUUUGAAGAAUAAAAAAUAUGAAAUUUGGAAUUGUACACUUAGAAAGUUAGAAUUGAGUUAAGAAAUAUUUGAUUUCAUUAAAUGAAAACAAUUUACACAUAAACAUAAUACAUAUGACAUUGCAAUGGUCCUUAAUACCAAAAUGAAGAUCGAUGUGGUUCCAUCAUAUUGUUAUUGUUAGAUGAAGGGAGCCCAUCUUGUUGAAGACAAUAUUCAUACCAGGACAUGGAGUUUCGAUAGUAUUGAUUGUAUGUACGAACAUGCCAUGCAUAAAUUUCUUGAGUCCUACCAACAACUUGUCCAUGGAUAGGAAAUCCAGGGUNNNNNNNNNNNNNNNNNNNNNNNNNNNNNNNNNNNNNNNNNNNNNNNNNNNNNNNNNNNNNNNNNNNNNNNNNNNNNNNNNNNNNNNNNNNNNNNNNNNNUGAGGCUGCUCAGAAGUUUGAAAACCGCUUAUUUUCCACUGACUUCAUCUAGACAAGUUGGCGGGGAAAAUCGAAUCUAGAAGAGGCUAUGAAAUUACGAAUGUCUCCAUUUUUUACUCUUCAAAUUCUUAUUUUACAUUUUCACAGUUCAUAAUUUUCAGCCUUCGAGUACAUUGUUUGUCAAGUAACUUUAAAGAAAUGUAAAUUGUUAAAUGUUGUCUACCUGCCGCGGCCUGUUUAGUUCCAGUUUUCAAAAAUGGUUUUUUGUUAUUGAAAAUAAAAAACACAAAAAAACUUAUUUAGGAAAGGGGAUGUGUUUUUGUUUUUGUUUUUUUUUUUUGUGUUUUCGGUAUUCUCAAAAACCACUUUUUUUUAGAAUAAUAAAAAAAUAUAUUUUCAUUAUUUUUUCAAUAAAAUAAAUUAUUUUUCGUGUUUUUUUUUUUCUUCUUUUUGUGUUUUCCUAGGUGCUUUUUAUGUUUCCACGAAGGUGAGUUCCACCUUCACAUCCACCCACAAACCUUUUCUUCUUCCUUAAAUUAUUAAAAUUAAUAUACUUAUACAUUAACUUUCAAACAUGUUUUUUGUUUUACUUAUUCUAAAAAAACUUUUUUAUUAAUUCAAUAAAACAUGUUUUUUUUUUUUUGAGAACAAAAAUUAUUUUCCUAAACAAUUUUCAAAAAUAGCAACCAAACAGACCUUAACUUUUCGGUUUAGCUCAAAUCCCCCUAAAUUGCAAAUGUAAUUUUUUGUGGUUAAAAAGAUGAGGGAAAAGUAGGAUUGAUUUACUAAUAUGAAAAUACACGGAAAAACAAACCUCUUCGUUUAUUUAAAAAUAAUUUCAAAUACAUACAUUUUUUAAUGAGUCAUCUAAUUAUUCCCUAAAUUAUUUAUUGUCAUGUCAUUAAUAUUAAUUGAUAAAUAGAUUCUUUCACGUCAAUGUUUAUCUUCCUUUUAAAUUUAUUAUUAUUAUUAUUAGUAUUAUUAUUUUAUUUGGGAUUUUUUUUUCACUGCUUUUAUCAUUCAUACUCUUCAAACUAUCUCACUUUUAUGAGAUGUUUAUGAAAAAAAAAAUGUCUUAACUUUUACUAAGGUGUUUGUUUUUGGGAAAGAAAAAAAUCUCAAAUAAUAAUAAUUGUGGGAUGCUCACAACCGUCUAGCAUGAUCCUUAUGUGUCGUCAAGUGUGAUGCCUAUUUUAUGCAAUCGUCAUGUAUCUGUCUACCUCAAAAUGCAAACAGACAAAUCAUCGAGGCACUAUACAUUCCCACCAGUCAAGUAUUAAAUACAACAUAUAUUAAGUGCAUUAAUUGACAUAACCAUUACUAAGCAUAAAACAUCAUACUUCCAAGACUCAAAAACUAGUAAUCAUUAACAUUAAAGAUGGUAAAAUUGCAAUCAAAUGUAUAAUAAAAGCAUUGAGAAGACAUUACCUUUGAGCCUAAAUAAAUAGUCAUUAUUCAUAAAAAANNNNNNNNNNNNNNNNNNNNNNNNNNNNNNNNNNNNNNNNNNNNNNNNNNNNNNNNNNNNNNNNNNNNNNNNNNNNNNNNNNNNNNNNNNNNNNNNNNNNGAAUUAUGCAUAUAUGAAAUAGAUAAACAUUACAAUAAAAUUUUGAUAAGAAUUAAAUUAAAUUAAAAUAAAUUAAAUUUGCAUAUUCAUGAAAUUGAUAAGAAUCAUUACUAAUAAAAAUUAAAAUUGAAUUAUGCAUAUAUGAAAUAGAUAAACAUUACAAUUACAUUUCCAUAUGAAUUAGAAAAUAUCAAUUAAACUAUAUAUAACAAAUAAAAUUUAAUUAUGCAUAAUAAAAUAAAUUUUAUAAAAGGUAAGACAUACCUUAAUUAGCCUUUGACUUGGAGUUAAUCCCCUUCACCACCAAAUUUUCAAAAUAAAAAAUUUUUGCUAGAUCAUAUAAGAAUUUUGAUGUAUGAAAUGAAAUGGAAUGUGGGUAUUUAUAGGAAUUUUUUUGGUCAAACUAGCCGUUGGAUGGUCAAACUAGCCGUUAGAAAUUAAUUUUAACCGUUGGAUCAAAAUUUGGUUCAAAUUUCACCAUUAGAUCUUCAUAUAACCGUUGGAAACACUCCAUAGCCCUUGGAUAAAGUCAAGAUUGAUUUUCCACCAUUGGAUCACAAAUCUGACCGUUGGAGGCCUUUACAUACACGGGUGAAAUCUGGGCCAUCAGAUCCUCAAAAAUUCAAAAUUGGCCGUCAGAUCAAAAGCAGGGAAUCUUCAAAAAAAUCGCCGAUUUUUUCAAAAAAUCGCCGAUUUAUCGCGAUUUUAUCGGCAAAAAAUCGCCGAUUUUUUCAAAAAAUCGGCGAUAAAUCGCCGAUUUUACCGAUUAAUCGCCGAUUUUUUGCUGUCCUCUGCCGUCUUCGCCGCGCGUGGCUCCACUCGCCGAUGUUUCGCCGAUUUUUCGGUCCUCCACCGAUAUUUCGCCGAUAUAUCGGCGAUUUUGCCGAUUUUUGGCCGAUUUUUCCGUCAAUCGAUAAUCGGUGCCGAUUAUCGUUUCGAUGCCGCCCGAUAACCGAUAUUUCUCCGAAAUAUCGGCGACAUUUUCCGAUUUUUCAAUCCAUGCUUUUAUGAGAUGUUUAUGAAAAAAAAAAUGUCUUAACUUUUACUAAGGUGUUUGUUUUUGGGAAAGAAAAAAAUCUCAAAUAAUAAUAAUUGUGGGAUGCUCACAACCGUCUAGCAUGAUCCUUAUGUGUCGUCAAGUGUGAUGCCUAUUUUAUGCAAUCGUCAUGUAUCUGUCUACCUCAAAAUGCAAACAGACAAAUCAUCGAGGCACUAUACAUUCCCACCAGUCAAGUAUUAAAUACAACAUAUAUUAAGUGCAUUAAUUGACAUAACCAUUACUAAGCAUAAAACAUCAUACUUCCAAGACUCAAAAACUAGUAAUCAUUAACAUUAAAGAUGGUAAAAUUGCAAUCAAAUGUAUAAUAAAAGCAUUGAGAAGACAUUACCUUUGAGCCUAAAUAAAUAGUCAUUAUUCAUAAAAAAGAAGGUAUGUUGCCACUUUUCCAAAAAAUCUCUUGCUCAAGUUUUUUACAUCUGACUUAAGCUUUGAAAGGAUGUAUCCGAAAAACUCAUCCAAACAUUCUUUUGUGCAAGUGCAAUCGGUCGUCUACAUCACGUGGAGGCUAGCCGGAUACUUCAUUAUUGGUCAUGCACCAACAAUAACGAUAAUAAAUCUGAAAAAAAAAAAACAUUUAUGUGGACAAGUCUAGUUGUCAAUUAAGGUUGAUGACAUGACAAGUAACAAUGACAUUUUAAGGGAUAAUUAAAUGACUAAUUAAAAUUGCAUGUAUUUUAAUUUUUUUUAAAUAAAUAAAGAUAAUAUUGAUUUAAAAAUUUAGGUUUCUUUUUUUCCAUAUAUUUUCAUAUUAGUAAGUCAAAACUCACUUUUCCCUUAAAAUUAAAUUCAAAUUCUUAUUAUUCAAGGCAUUACAUUAGUUUGGAUUUAUCAAAUAUUAAAUAACAUAUAAAUUAAUAUUAAUCAUAAAUUCUCAUAAUAUGAAUCAUUGUAAAAGAGUAAAUUUAUGAACAUACAAAUUAAUAUAAUUGUAGGAAAAAGUGAGUAUUGACUCACUAAUAUGAAAAUAUAUAGAAAAAAUAACCUCAAAUUUUUUAAAUCCAUAUUAUCUUCAUCUAUUAAAAAAUAAUUUGAAAUACAUGCACUUUUUAAUGAGUCAUAUAAUUAUUCCCUAAAAUUUCCAUAAAAAAAAAUGUUGGUUACCAAUAAUCACAUCAAGAAUUUUACAUAAAAAAAUAAAAAAAUAAAAACAAAAAUAUAUUACUUUUUUAUAUGUAUCUCUAUCUCCUGAAUUGAAGAUGAAAUAAAAAAACAGAAGAAUGUCCUAAACAAUCAAGGUCCUUGAAAUUAACCUCAACGUACCCUAAUGAAAAAAAUCCUACAAAGACCUUGGAAAAAACCAUAAACCUUAUUCCCUGCAAACUCAAACUCACCUAUAGUCCGCUAAGGUUUUACCUACUUUUAAUUUCCACACUCUUCAAACUACCUCACUUUUGCUACGAGAUAUUUGUUUAUAGAAAAAAAAAAUUCAACUUUUCCUAAAGGGUCUUUGCUUUUAGAACAAAAAAUCUCAAAUAAUAAUAAUAAUAAAUAUCUAAAAGGAACAUAAAUAAUUACGUGGAGAAGUCUAGUUGUCAAUUAAUGUUGAUGACGUGACAAGUAAAAAUCAAAAUUUAAAAAAUAAUUAGAUGACUCAUUAAAAAUUGCAUGUUUUUCAAAUUAUUUAAAAAUAAAUGAAUAUGAUAUCAAUAUACAAAAUUUAGAGUUCUUUUUUUCCAUAUAUUUUCGUAUUAGUGAAUCAAAACCCACUUUUCCCAUAAUUAUAUACUCAAUUUAUAUAUUAGCCAUUGUUUGAUAAAAUCUAAAAUUAUUUUUAUGAAACCAAGGUUUGGUUCAUUGCGAUUUUGAUGAUAACAAAACAAGGUUUAGAACUAAUGAUUUUAUUUCAAGUGUGAUUAGGCAAGAUGAUUUCCAAAGUGGUAAUCACAAAGACAAAUCAAGUCAAGGAGAAAUUACGAAGAAGAAGACCACCUCAAAGAGAAGUGUUUUUCAAGACCUAAGUUUCAUAAGAUCUCUUUAUAAAGUUGUUGGUGUACUAGGAUUUUCAUACAUUACAUUCUUUACUUAUAUUCCAAAAUUAUCCAAGAGUUAUUUUGUUUUAAAUAUUUUAAAAUUGGAUGAUUUCAUGUUUUCAACUCAAACCUUGUGUCAAAAUGUUUUUCAAACUUGUUUAAAAGGUUUUAAAUUGAAAAAGUUGGUUGUUAAGCCAAAAACAGCUCAAUCGGAUGAGAAACCGAUCAACCGCCAGCUCAACCGGUUUAGGAGCAGGUCGACCUCCAGUUCAAUCAGUCAAGGGUGUGAACAGUAAUUGGUCGAUCGCCAGCUCAAUAGGUCGAUGGGUGCAAAAAACUUUAUCUCUCUUCCAAAAUGGUUGUUCAACUGGAUGAGGAACCAGUCGACCCAUACCUCAACCGGUCGAGGACCAAUUGAAGUCCAAUGGUCACCUACCAAGCAUUAAAUGCUAAUAACUAGUCAACCGGUCGACCCCCAACUCGACUGAUCGAACCCCCAAUGGCUAGUUUGAUUUUUUUUCCUCUAUAAAAAGGCUUCAAAUCUUCAUUGUUCAUGAGUUCAACUUUCCCAAACCUUUCUUGAAUAUAUUUGAGUCUUGGAAGAGUGUUUUGAGUGCACCAUUGUUCUAAAACUUGCAUAUCUUUAGUGCACCAUUCAAUCCUAGUUUUCUUAUAUCAUUUGAGCUUAAAGUUUUUGUACUAGGAUUUUGUAAGAUCAAUUAUUUAUAUAUCUUUGAGAGGAAGAUUCUCAAGUGUAGGGUAUCACUUGAGAGGUUGUUUAAGAGUGGGGUAUCUCUUGAGGAUUAUAAAGGGUGCUUAGAACCAAAAGUCCAAAAUAGUGAAUUGAAACCAUAAUCCAAUUGUAUCGCUUAAAGGCUUGGUUUGGAAGCCUUGAAUUAGUGGAACCUCAAGCUUGGGAUUGAAGCUAGAGAAAAAUGGAUGUAGGCUAGGUUGCACCAAACCACGAUAAAAUCUUGUGUUUGCAUUUUCUCUUCCCUACUUUUUUACUUUAUAUGCAAUUAUAUUUAUAUUGUUUUAUUAUAUACUUGCAUAUAUUUGUCUCUUACAUUCUUAAAAAACAUAAAUCUAUUUUUAAAAACUAUUACCAAGCAAGCUCUUAAUUCAUAUUUUCCACAUUUUAGGGUAAUUAAUUCACUUUCAUUCUCAUUUCUAUCAUAUUCAAAUUCUCUCAUUCCACACUCCAGAGCUUUUUCCAUAAAAGAAGAAUGGUCGUGGGUUUCUCAUUUUUUUUUUUGUAUGAAAUGUAAGAUAUUUCACUUUCAUUUCCAUUUCUAUUACAGUCAAAUUCUCCCAUUCGACACUCCAUAGCUUUUUCCAUGAAAGAAGAACCGUUGUGGCAAGGUUUCUCAUUUCCUUGUAUGAAAAGUAAGAUGAUUUCACUUUCAUUCUUAUUUAUAUCAUAUUCAAAUUCUCUCAUUCCAGACUCUAGAGUUUUUUCCAUGAAAGAAUAAUGGUCGUAAUCAGAUAUUAAAAUAUCGUGUUUCAGUGGACCACGCAGUAGCUCAGCCAACCACUGGAGUAAGCUUACCCCUUGUUAUAUAUACUGUAUCAAAUAUAUAUGGACUAAAACUCAUCAUAUAAACACAAUAUUAAAAUAAUAUUUUAAUGAACAAAUUAAUUAUAAUUAUUUUAUAAUUAAAUGAAAAAAAUCAUUUAAUUGAUUGCCAAAAAUAUAAAAUUAUCAUGAUAAUUUUCUUCAUAGUGUUUUUAAUAUCAUUAAUAUAUUAAUUAAAUAUUAAUAUAUAUCAUUUAUUUUACUCAAUUGUUAUUCACAACACUAUUUUUACUAAUGCAACAUUUUACAUUCCUAAAUUACCCUCCCUUAUUCCUUCCCCCUCUCUCUCCUCUCCCCUCUCUCUUCCCCAACCUCGCAUCCCAAUUGCACCCCUUUUUGAAUUUUUUUUCCCAAUCCCCACCCCACAUUUUAGCAUUUUUUUUCUUUUAUUUUUAUCUUCCUUUUCAUCUCUACAAACCCAACCCCCCAACCCACGUAAACUUCUUUUUUUUCUUUUCAUUUCUUUUAUUUUUUCACACUCAAUUAUUUUUCAUAUUCUUCUUAUAUUUUAAAACAAAAUAAUUUCUUUAAAUAAUAAAUUAUAAAAUGAUUUUAUUAUAUUCAAUGUUUUUUUAAAUUUGCAAAAAUAGACCAUCACCUUAUUCGCCCUCUUCUAGGGUGAUUACCAUAGGUUGGAUUAACCUAAUAUUUUUAAUAAUUUUUAAAAUAUCAAAAUCAAGCCCUAGAUAACUCACCAUUAAAAAAAAUAUUUAAUAAGUUAUAGAAAGUUCCUUUUAAUAUAUUUUUAUGGUAUAUGGUAGAAUUUAAAUAAAAUUAAUUCCAAAUUUUAAAAAAAAAAAAAAAAAUCAUUUAUAAAAGUUAUUAACCAUUAAUAAUUGAUAGUGGUUGGAUUAUACCAAAAAAAAAAAGGUUGUAUUUGUCUUGUCAUUGAUAUUCAUAAUUGAUAAUAUCAUAUAUUAAAAAUUAUUAACCAUUAAUAAUAAAUCAACACUGAUUAUUAAUUAUUUAGACCAUUUUUAUGAAAAAAAAAAUAGUGAAACUUUUAAAUUAAUACACCAAAAAUAGUUUUAGAAGCAUAUAGAGAAGAUUGAGAAUAAAAUUUGAGUUUUGUUGUGUUGUUGUUUUAGUGUUUUAAGUUUUAAAACUUGAGUCAAGUGAUUGUUAUUUGCUUUGUUUGGUUGUUGAGAAAAAUAGAAGAUUGAGAAUGAAACUUGAGUUUCAUGGUUAUUGCUUUGGUGUUUGAAGUUUUGAAACUCGAGAGUUGAAUGGCUGUGCUAGUAUAUAUCCUUUUUUGUAUGGAUUAUAACCAAAGCAUGGUGAACACACUUGUGCACACAUCCAAGAAUAUAUAUAUAUAUAUAUAUAUAUAUAUAUAUAUAUAUAUAUAUAUAUAUAUAUAUAUAUAUAUAUCAAAUUUGAACAACUGAAUAAUGAAAUUGUAUUGACCAUACAAAGAUAAUGAACAAACUAUGUAAAGGGUAUACAAGGCAAAUCAUGGAUUUUGAACAACUAUGCAAGACCGUUACAUUGACUAUAUAGGAUCAAUGAACUAACUAUAUAAAAAGUAUACAAAAUAGGACAUGAAUUUUGAACAACCAUACAACACAAUUGCAUUCACUUUAUAAGGCCAAUGAACUAAUUAUAAAAGCAAUGUAUUGUUUACAACUUAUUUUUAUCCCUCCUCGAAAUACCUCAAAGGUUUAUGACAAUAAAAAGAAAAAAAAAGUGUUAUUUUUCUUUUUCAAAUUUUAAAAAAUCAAAUAAAUAUAAAAAUAGAUUUUUAUUUUUUAAAGAUAAAAUUAAAAAGGGAAGAAAAAUAUGAUAAAUUUAAUUUUUUACCUUCCAAUUAAUUUGUAAAUAUUUUUAAAAAAAAAGGGAAAAUUCNNNNNNNNNNNNNNNNNNNNNNNNNNNNNNNNNNNNNNNNNNNNNNNNNNNNNNNNNNNNNNNNNNNNNNNNNNNNNNNNNNNNNNNNNNNNNNNNNNNNCCUCUACUCUCCUCUCCCCUCUCUCUUCCCCAACCUCGCAUCCCAAUUGCACCCCUUUUUGAAUUUUUUUUCCCAAUCCCCACCCCACAUUUAAGCAUUUUUUUUCUUUUAUUUUUAUCUUCCUUUUCAUCUCUACAAACCCAACCCCCCAACCCACGUAAACUUCUUUUUUUUCUUUUCAUUUCUUUUAUUUUUUCACACUCAAUUAUUUUUCAUAUUCUUCUUAUAUUUUAAAACAAAAUAAUUUCUUUAAAUAAUAAAUUAUAAAAUGAUUUUAUUAUAUUCAAUGUUUUUUUAAAUUUGCAAAAAUAGACCAUCACCUUAUUCGCCCUCUUCUAGGGUGAUUACCAUAGGUUGGAUUAACCUAAUAUUUUUAAUAAUUUUUAAAAUAUCAAAAUCAAGCCCUAGAUAACUCACCAUUAAAAAAAAUAUUUAAUAAGUUAUAGAAAGUUCCUUUUAAUAUAUUUUUAUGGUAUAUGGUAGAAUUUAAAUAAAAUUAAUUCCAAAUUUUUUAAAAAUAAAAAAAAAAUCAUUUAUAAAAGUUAUUAACCAUUAAUAAUUGAUAGUGGUUGUAUUAUACCAAAAAAAAAAAGGUUGUAUUUGUCUUGUCAUUGAUAUUCAUAAUUGAUAAUAUCAUAUAUUAAAAAUUAUUAACCAUUAAUAAUAAAUCAACACUGAUUAUUAAUUAUUUAGACCAUUUUUAUGAAAAAAAAAUAGUGAAACUUUUAAAUUAAUACACCAAAAAUAGUUUUAGAAGCAUAUAGAGAAGAUUGAGAAUAAAAUUUGAGUUUUGUUGUGUUGUUGUUUUAGUGUUUUAAGUUUUAAAACUUGAGUCAAGUGAUUGUUAUUUGCUUUGUUUGGUUGUUGAGAAAAAUAGAAGAUUGAGAAUGAAACUUGAGUUUCAUGGUUAUUGCUUUGGUGUUUGAAGUUUUGAAACUCGAGAGUUGAAUGGCUGUGCUAGUAUAUAUCCUUUUUUGUAUGGAUUAUAACCAAAGCAUGGUGAACACACUUGUGCACACAUCCAAGAAUAUAUAUAUAUAUAUAUAUAUAUAUCAAAUUUGAACAACUGAAUAAUGAAAUUGUAUUGACCAUACAAAGAUAAUGAACAAACUAUGUAAAGGGUAUACAAGGCAAAUCAUGGAUUUUGAACAACUAUGCAAGACCGUUACAUUGACUAUAUAGGAUCAAUGAACUAACUAUAUAAAAAGUAUACAAAAUAGGACAUGAAUUUUGAACAACCAUACAACACAAUUGCAUUCACUUUAUAAGGCCAAUGAACUAAUUAUAAAAGCAAUGUAUUGUUUACAACUUAUUUUUAUCCCUCCUCGAAAUACCUCAAAGGUUUAUGACAAUAAAAAGAAAAAAAAAGUGUUAAUUUUCUUUUUCAAAUUUUAAAAAAUCAAAUAAAUAUAAAAAUAGAUUUUUAUUUUUUAAAGAUAAAAUUAAAAAUGGAAGAAAAAUAUGAUAAAUUUAAUUUUUUACCUUCAAAUUAAUUUGUAAAUAUUUUUAAAAUAAAUAGGAAAAUUCAAAUAUUGCAAUUGAUUUUUAAGAUAAAAUUUGAAAACAAAAAAUAACAAUAACUUUCAUAUAACAUAUAAAAACUUUUAGAUACUUAAACCAAAAAGAUAAUGGUAAUAAAAAAAAAGUUAAAAAAAAAGUGAGGUUUUAAAAUUUAAUCCCAUCUCAAAUUCAAAAAUUUUUAAGGAUAUAAAACAAGCCUAUAUUUUUUAUAUGAAAAUUUUCAUUUUUUUAAGUUAUAAAAAUUAUUCUCAAUUUCUCCUUUUAAAAAUAAUGAACAAGAAAUGUAUUUAAAAAAAACCUUAUAUUGAAAACUUUUUAAAUGCCUAAUAAUUAAAAAAAAAAAAUUCUAAAUUUAAAAAUAAUAAUUUAAGUUUUAAAAUUAUAAAUCGUAUAUGGAACUUCUUCCCAUUAAAUAAUUGCUUACUUAAUUAUCCCCACAUGUGAUUUUCUAAAAACCCAAUUAAGGGUAUUUUGGGCAUUUUUGGCUCACAAAAUAUUGGUACGUCCUUCAUAGUAAUUUGGAGACCUGCUCUACCCCAUCACAACAAUUAUACAAAUUCAUGGUCUUUAGGGUCAUUAUCACCUUCAAGGCUUCAAUCACCCUUCGAUCAUAGCCGGCUGUAGGUGCAAUUUGGUCUCUUCUCAAUUUAUUAAUCACACAGGACAAAGUCCAAAAUCAAAUAUAUUCUAAAAAAUAGGUAGAUUCUUGGCAUGUGUAUCAGGAAUUUUACUUUUCAUAUGGAAAAUUGUGAUUUAUGGAAUGCGUGAUGGACUUUAAAUCCUAAAAAUAAUAAUAAAUAAAUAAUGAAAAAUAAGGCAAUUGUCUGCCUAAUUAUUGAAUGAUAAAAAUAAAAUAUUUUGUCACAUCUAUGGAAAGUUGACUUUGACAAUUACACGAUAGAAUAGGUCAAGCCCACUAGAUUUUCAGGAAAGUAGUAAGUAAAAAAUAAAAUAAAAUAAAUGAUAUUUUAGUAUUUUAUUGAGCAUAUAAAAUAUAAAAUAAAUUCAAAUAUAAUUAAAAUUAAAUUUAUGUAUUUUAAAUUUAUUUAAUUUUUAUAUAGAAGAGUUAAAAUAAAUUAAAUAAAAUUUAAAAAUAUAUAAAAAUAAUUUAUUAAGUUUAAAUUAUUUUUAUUUUUCUUUGCUUUCUUUGACUUCUGUUUUUACUCAUUAUUUUAUUACCAUAAUUUCCUCAAAAUUUUCAAAAUCCAAAUGCUUAUUGAAAUUUAUUAGUACAAACUUUGAAAUUUUGGCUUAUUUAAAUUUGAGUGCAGAAGAGGUCAGUAAUGUAGGGACCCCCCAGGACAUGUGGCACGCACCUCUAUUCGGGUCCCCCAAGGGGGGUAUACGACACUCUCAAAUAUCAUAUCCGGGCGAUGCUUUAUCCUAUCUGGACCUAUUGUCCGGAUCAUUGACUGUAACGAGCAAGUCUUGCUGAGUCAUCCCCGACAGUCUGCCACAACCCACGUUCCGUCGCCUGCAGAGCGAAAGAACAAGAGCGAUGACAAGUCACCUCCCACGAUCUUUGAUGAUGACCCUGCCACCACCUUGAAGACAUCAUGACAAGCCAAAAAGUUUUCCCACCAUUAAAGAGGGGAGCAGAGUUUCUGACAUUAUAUAAAAGGGUCUUCACACAAGGAGGAAGGUAAGCCUGAGAUCCUAAAAAAGCCAAUAGUCUGAUCUCUUAAGCCAUGACUAACAAAACCAUCGGAGGGUGUGUCCGGACAUCUUUUGCAGGAUCGACUGAGCCAGAACUCCUUCUUGGUUGAUAGCACGCGUCCACUUGGCAGCAGCAGGGAUCCCUGGGACACGAGGCAUCAACAAGUAAUGGCUCCUAAUACAUGGAAUAUGCAUAUCCCACCAUUUUUUAUCCUUCAAAUUCUUAUAUUAACACUUUCACGGUUCUUAAUUUUUAGCUUUUCUAUGUCUUAUAUGGGUAUAUUAGGCUAUGUAGUUUAAGAUCGACAAUUUUGUUCUAUUCAUUUUAGCUUAAAAGUGUCCAAUAAUAUGCUCUAUAUUAAACCUCUCUCAUGUUAGUAGCUUCAACAACAGUGAGUCAAGUCCGGGGGACAUGAUAGACAAACCCAUAUGACUAGUUCACAUUAUCAGGUCCUCUUGUACUAUAAUUAUGAAUGAAAAAAUAGACGUUUCUAGAAAUUCAUGGGGCUUAGUUCACUGGAAGUUCUUAUUUUUCUUGAGUCCAGAUAAAGAAAGAUUUGAUAUCUAGAAAUUCAAAAUCUUCUUGUCUUCACGCUUUCUGAUCAAAGCAAGUACUAAUAAAGAAAACAAUCAGAGCAUGACAGAUGUUGAACUUAAUAUUGUCUAGAUUCACCGAGUCGAUGAGGUUUUGAGCUUGAAAGAGUGAGUUCAAAUCCACAUGUCUGGAAAUUUGGAAGGCAGUGAUUCUACAAUUCAAAGUCCUAUAUCCACAUGUCUGAAUCUGAUCAGCAGGAUACCAAUGAAUGAGCACCAAGUUUAAGUAACUACUUUUCUUCAUGGGUCAAGCAUGGAACUUAGAAAUACCUCUGAACUUUCUGAAGAAGGCCAAAACUUCCCUUUUUGCUAGCUCAAGUCUAAAUUUAAGAGUGUUGCAAACCCUGCUCCUGAUACACGCUUGUUGGUUUUGAAAACAUACUAUUUUCAUGUUGUUACCGUGUCUUAAUGUCUUCAGCCACUUAAAGCAGAGACUGAAAGUGGAGCACCAUACUAGUAAGCAGGCAAUCAAGAUGAAAGAAUUGCUUAAGGUUACAUUAUUGUCAUGAAUUUAAGUUACAUAAAAUUGGGAGAAAACAAAAUACAAGAAUUUAACUAGUAUUAUCUGCUCAUUGCAGAGCUUUGGAUACUCUCUAACAGCCUAUACAUAGAACAAAACCAUUUUGUUCAUCUUACAACCAAAUGUUGAACUGAGAAUGUUACAUAUACAUUAACCAACCAUCUUUGAAGAACUCGUGCUUUUACCGCCUUUGGAAGUUAAAUGCCUUAAUGGCAAAGGCAAAGAUAAAUAAGAAAAGUACUGUAAACCCAACAAUCACAGCUGCAACCACUCCUAGAAAAUCAUGUUCGAAUCCAAAAUAGUCAUUCAAGUAUUGUUCCACUGUGUCACCUGUGUCCUCAAAUCUGUCCUGUAUAUCUCCAAACUGUGAUGUAACCAAUCCAUACAAAGUCCAUGCAACUGGACAUGCCCAAUAGUACCAUCUCCACCACACAGGAAUCCUCUGUAUUCAUCAUGGAAGAAAUGCAACAAAAUGAGUCAUUUCCAUAUCCAUGUGCUAAAGAUAGUUGCAAUUUAGAGAAUAAUGAGUUGAGAGAACUUACUGUUCGAGGAACUAUAAAACCUGAAAAUAGGUUCCAUAAUCCAUAAAAUGCUGCAGCAACGAUGGCAGCAAUAUGUUGAUUUGGUGUGGCAGCCACAGCCAUCAUGCCAUAAAAGGUGAAGUACAGUAAGGUGAAGAACAUGAAGAACAGAUACCAGAAGAACUUAGCAGCUGUCCAUUCAAAUCCAAUCAUUGCAUAAACUAUAACACCAUACACCACAGCUUGUGCAAAGACAUAUGGUAUCUCAACUAGAGCCUGAAACAAGAGAUGAAAUUUGAUUAAUAAAACCCAUAAAGUGUUAGAGAUAGACAGUCCAUAGCAUAAGAAAACUAGUUACCUGUGCAAAGGCAUAUGGCAUAGCUGAAUACAUUCCUGCAGCUCUUUCUCUGUAAAAGACUGUCCGUUCAACUGCAACGACUGGCUGCACCGAUGAGGAAUUUUGAACCCCAAGGAAGAGAACAGCAGCAUACAUAGAACCCAUUGCAUUACUCAAAUCUUGUUGUUUUUUCCUGAAUUUUACCAUGUGAAGUAUGAAUUAAAGUUGAUACAGAGAAACAUACUGAGUUCUCAAAAUCCUGUACUGGGUUCAAAUUACCUUUUGGUGCCGAGAUCCCAGAACAUUGUCCCAAAUAUCAAGGCUAUGAAAGUUGUGAAGAAAAAUCUCACUGCCGUGUAUGGUGGAUUGCGCCAAUAUGACCUACGCUGUUUCCAUAAGCAUGCCAUACAUUGGGUGAAGAAGGACUGGGAGUAUUGAGUAGGGAAAUAGAGGUCCUUUGAACCAGGGGCAGGUUGGCUCAAUUCUUUAAUUAAAUCUUUGUUUCUCCUGAAACAUAUGCCACAUCAGAAAAGGCUUCAAUAACCAAUUCAAGCUUGCAUGAUGAACAUUGAGAUGUGUAUACAUGACAUUUCAAUAUCAUAAUGCUUUCAGAUAACCUAUAGUUGAAUCACCUGUAUAGGUCCGAAUUUUUGUAUAUUUCAGUGAAAUCCACCCCCAACAAGAAUUCUUGUGCCGAAGAGGUAACUUCCAGCAUCCAAGUUGCAGGGUUAUAACCAUCUUUGAUUUUACUCACUCCUUCAAUUCCCUUAAUGAUAGCAAGUCACAUGUAUUAGUAAGCACUUGAUAUGAAUUAACUCAAACUAAAUUAUUUGCUGCUUAUAGCUUUUACUUUAUCAUGGCAGCUUACCUGAAAAUACUUUAUCAGAUGAGAAGAAUGUCUACCCAGUGGUCCCACAUAUAUCUCUUGUCCUCCUCGCUUCAACAGGAGCAACUGCAAAUCCAUUUUAAAUAUUUCAGUACUUAUAUGCAAAGCUCAUAGAAGGGAAACUAUAAAUUCUUUCUAUCCAUUAACAUUUCCCACCUCAUCAAAGGCUUCAAAGAUGUCAAUACUUGGCUGAUGGAUGGUGCACACAACUGUUCUUCCUGUGUCCACUGUGUUCCUGACUGUUCUCAUAACAAUUGCAGCAGCUCUUGCAUCUAGCCCUGAAGUUGGCUCAUCCAUGAAUAUUAUUGAGGGAUUUGCCACAAGCUCAACUGCAAUGGUCAGCCUCUUGCGCUGCUCUGUUGAGAGACCAUUUACACCUGGCAACCCAACUAGUGAAUCCUUCAAUGGGGUCAGUUCCACGAGCUCCAUGACUUCCUCAAUGAACAUCUGUAACCAUUAGCAAGGAUUAGAAAUUGUUUAAAAAAACAAUGCAAAGCCAUAGCAGAGAUGGUAAAAAAAUUGACACUGCUUGUGACUCUUUUCAGUUAGCAGGUUGUGAACAAGUUUCUCUAGUCUUAUUAAACAGAUCAGUUCAUGGUUGCCAAUGCUCAAUAACACCUAUUAGCAUGCAUGAACUUCACCAACUUGUAUUCCAGGUCAACCAAAUUUGAACCAGCACCUUUCCCCAGGGUGAAGGUCAAGCCAAAUUUGAACCUGAUCUAAGCUCAACCAAGUUUGAAAAAUCAAUUCUAGGGCUUUACUUGUUCAGAGCACUCAAUUGAAUAAGACAAAUGUGGAAAGAACUCAGGAAGCCCUCACCUUUCUAGUUUUAGAAUCCACAUCAGCAGGCAACCUCAGCCAAGCAGAGUAGAGCAAGGACUCAUGGAUAGUAACAUGAGGAGAGUGGAUGUCAUUCUGCUCACAGUAUCCAGAAAUUCGAGCAAAAGUCUCUUGCUUCUUUGGGUAGCCAGAAAUGUUGAUGUUACCCUCAAUAUAUCCACCAGUUUUCCGACCAGCCAGUACAUCCAUGAGAGUGGUUUUACCAGCACCGCUAACACCCAUCAGAGCUGUAAGAACACCAGGCCUGAAAGCACCACUCACCCCCUUUAGAAGCUCCAAUCUGUCUUCAAGGACACCCUGACUUUUCAUUUCCUACAAAUUCAAUUCAAACAACUUAGUUCUCAUUUUUGGUUUAUUAGUGCUGCUAAAGCAUGUACAUUAUUUGCAUUAACAUGGAGUUACCUCUGGCAUGUCAACUGAGUAUCUAAUAUCAUCAAAGGUGAUAGAAAGUGGUUGGAAUGGAAGAACCAUUCCUUUUUUGUUGUUACGUCUAGCCUCAGCAAUGGCUUCUGCCCUCACAGAUGAGGAUGUGGAUGAGAUGCUUCUCCCAAUUUCGUCUCUCCUCUCUGCAUGUUAAGUUUAAAAUUAGUGAGCCAUGUAAAACAUGUGGUUAAAUGACAAGAACAAAGGCACACAUGCACCAUGAAUGAGUUUCAUCACCUGUGGAUGCAGUUUGGUCAAUCGAGCCUCGUCUAUGGGAUGAUAACUCGAUCUUCCCUCCAGUUUUGGAAUUCUCAGACUCUUCUGUUAUAACAGCUUGAGGCUUCUCAAAUGCUGCACAAUUUGCACAAAUCUUAGUACACUAAUCUCCAAUAUUUUAGGAUUUUCAACACAGAGAAUGUAAGGAUACCCACCAUUUAGGUAAGUGAGAGCCACAGUGUAACAGAAGUUGAAGACUAAAAUGAAUCCAAGCAGUGCCCCAGCUCCUAUCCAGUACCAGUAUGCCUCUGUGAAGAACCCGCGAGACUUCAAUACUGCUACUCCAAGGGAUUCUGUUGAAUCGGUUGAAGAAUUCUGAAAAAUGGAAAUACAUUCAAUCAUCAGUUACUGACACAAAUAAACACAAAUAUUCACAUGAAACAUUCAUAAACUUACUUUGCUCCAACUCUUCCCAAGGAAUUCAUUUACCACUAUUGCGUUCUGUGCAUACAUCAGAGGGGAAGACCAGUAACCCCAAAUCCACCAUUUCUUGACAUUUUCUACAGCAAUGACCAAAUACAAGAAGGAAACAAAAAUUCAUUAUUAGGGUUUAUGAACAAGAAGGUCCUAGUUUCCUAAAAAAAAUCUUUCCUCCUUAUACCUCGUGACAGGACAAAACCACCCAAUGCAAAGAGCAAAAGUAAUGAAAAUGACCCAAAUGUGUUUGCAACAAUCAUGUUUCUACCAGCUGCUGCAAUAAAUCGAAACAAUGCAGAUGCCAUCUGAUUAACAAGCACGAGGAGAAGAUAUUGUUUAAACAACCUGCAAUAAGAAGAUUUGUUUAUUAGCAUUGAUCAUUUUGGAACAAAGAAAACAUUUGAAACAAAUCUGGACAUGUUUCUUUUACCUUCCCACAUUUGGAUCAAAUCCAAUGACAUAAUAAGACAUGAACACCCAAACAGCAACUUCAACAAAUGUGAUGGGGAUCUUGAGGAUCCAUGAGGGGAGUGCAUACGCCCAUGCAGGGUAGAAUAGUAGGCCUCUUUGCUUGUAAAAGACAGGAAGUUUUGCAAUGGUCAUGGCAAGUUCUGACAUUCCAUUAAACAUGAUCAUGACAACAGUGAAGAACAAAGCACCCGUGUAAAUGCUUCCAUCAUCUGUUGAAUUUUUGUGCAUCUCAGUUCUUAGGAAGAUUGUCAUGGAAAUUGCUGCCAUUAUUAUGAGCUAAAAGAAGAAACAAAAAUAAUAAAUUACGAUCAAAUGUACAAAAUUGAAAGCCAUUGUUAUAAGUAACAACAAUAAUAAUACUCACUUGGGUGAGCUUGAAAAUAUAGACAAAUGAAUUCCUCUUCAUCAGCAAGUACUCUCUUGAGAUGCAAGCAUCCAACAGUUCCUUCUUUCUAACACCAUAUUUUUCAGUUUUCAAAGCAGCUGGGUGGCUUUUGGUCUUGUCGAAUGGAGUUGCAAGCUCAUGUCCUAGUUUCCGUCCAAUGUGAAAUGACUGGAAUGCCUCGGCAAAUUCCUUGACUGUGACAAAACUGUAAGGCUCAUCUUUACGUGCCCAAUACUGCUGCUGAUCUUUCCUAGAUGUUACCUGUAAUGAAUUUUAAAAUUCAUGUUCUAGCUUGAUUUUUUCUAAAGAAGGAAAAAAAAAUUGAGAAGAUGCCUAAAGGUACAAAACUAUUAGCACUCACUUCUUGUAGGAAGUCUGCCACACCCUUCCUUUCAGGACAUCUGAAGCCCAUGGAUUCAAAAAAGUCAAGAACGUCUUCACGAGGACCCUGAUAAACAAUCUGGCUAUCAGAGAGGAGAAUGAUGUCAUCAAAAAGAUCGUAAGUCUCAGGUGCUGGCUGGAGGAGAGAGAUGAGAGCAGUCCCAUUGAGAAUGUGGAUGGUUUGCCUGAGAGAAUUCACGAUUUGAUAAGUUGUCGAGCUAUCCAACCCAGUAGAGAUCUCAUCCAUGAACAGUGCCUUCGAUGGUCCAACCAGCAUCUCCCCUGUCAUUCAUAUAUUUCACAGUUGAAUUAACUUAAAUUAAUGAACGAAAAAAUCUAAUUUAUUUUAUUUGGUUGGAAACCAAAUUAUCCUACCAGUUGUGACACGCUUCCGUUGUCCUCCAGAGAUACCCCUUAUCAUUUGAUCUCCUACCAAGGUGUCUGCACAGACUUCUAGUCCCAGAAUCUGUAAAUUUAAGUGUAAAUGAAAAUAAACAAAUUAUGACUUAGAAUUGGGUUUUCUCAGAAAUCUGCAUUCCAUCAUUGAAAGUUCUAUGGUUAUGAUACCUUCAGUGUAUAGUCAGUGAUUACAUUCUCCUUCUGGCCUUCCGUUGCCACUGCCUGAAAUAUUAAAAACCAAUAAUGUAAAUCUCACUCACCAUCAAACCAAUAAGUACCUUAAGAAAUUCCAAGGAUAAGAGAUUUUGCUCUGCAGAACUGGUUAAAAUUUCACUCAAAGUAGCUUCUGUCUCACCUUCAUGAAGACAUCGAUAUCAGGAUCAGGCUUAAUAUUUGCUGCCUUCUCUCUUCUUGAGAGCUCUGCUAACAUGUCUGCGAAUAGCCAAAUAAAAGUCAACCUCCUGGCUUAUGCAAAUUUCAUAUAACUAAAUUCACAAGCUUCAAAAACAAAGAAAAUAAAAGUAAAAGGCAAUGAAUGGUUUAGACCAACCAUAUCGAUCUCCAACACCCUGGCAUCUUGCAGAGAAGGCCAAGGUUUCCCGUACAGUCAUUUCUCCUAUAUGGGUAUCAUGUUGGCUGAUGUAGGUUGCAGUUCUCUGGGGUACAAAUUCAUUCAUGCCAUGACCAUUGUAUGUCACCUUUCCCGUAACCUAAAAGCAGGAAUUUCAGUUUCCAAAUUGGAUAUGAGAUUAAACAGCUAAAAAUUGAAUAUUCAUUAAAGAACAAAAGCAAUAAUUUUUUUUUCAUUCAACCUUUAGACUGGAAUCAAGCUUUCCGGACAAAGCCAAUAAGAGAGUGGUCUUUCCAGAACUUGGAGGACCCAAAAGCAAUGUCAUUCUGCAGAAAAAAAAUAUGCACAAAAGAUUGAGUAUGGAUCUUCAGGAUAUUCUAAAUUGGAGAAAGUAAAAAAAUCCAUUUGAUAGAUAUAUAUAUAUAUAUAUAUAUAUAUAUAUAUAUCUCAAUUAAUUUUUUUACAGAAAAAAAAAGAAAAAAAAUCAUAUUCUCACCUUCGAGGUUUGAUGAUUCCACUAACAUCGUGAAGAAUAGUGAGUUUCUUCUUUCUACUCGGAAGAAUCCGAAGAGUGUUCAAGAUAUCCUUUAAAACAGAAAGAAAAAUUAUAAUCUAAAAACAAACUUUCCCAAGAGAGUAUUUAUUGCUUAGCUAGUGAUCUGUAUUUGCAUUUUAGUUACCUCAAUUUGAUUAAAAGCAGAAUAAAUGAAUGAAGGCAAAGCUCUGCUUCCUACAUGAGCUUCUGCAUCAAUGGUAAGAUGCUCAAAUCUAACUUCAAUUUCGGGAAGAUCAAUCCCAACUCUGAAAAAUGAAAUAGACAUGCAAACCCAUUACUAAAAAGUCAAAGGAAGAUGUUUGGUUGUGAAGAAAAUGCAGGACUAUCAGUCACAUUUAAGGUGGAUUCUUUCUUUUCCACUGUUUUCAAUGUUAAAAAAGAAAAAGAAAAACGGCAAGAAAGGCAAGAGAAGAGGAGAAAUCGCACCUAUCUAUGCGAUUCCUGAGCUUCAACAAGAACUUCUCAUUGUCCUCUUCGGCAAUUUUCACCAACCGCUCCACUAAAUUCUUCUUUUCCUGAAACCCAAGGUUGUGUAUAUCAACUUCACUGGCCUCACCCGCCGAACCCAUCAGCAAGCCUUUCCUCAUCCGAUUGUAGGUGGGAAGUUUCUCGAGGGCGGCCCAUUUCAAAGCUUCCUCAUCAUCUUCAUCCCUCGAAGAACGGGAGAAAACCUCCUCACCAGAGUUCCUCCAUAUGGAAGAACUGUCCUUCCUUAAACUACCACCGGCUCUAUAAAUUUCACCUGUUGCCAUUGCAACACGAAACGAGGAACCCUCCUGCAAAACCCACCAAAACCCAGAAACCUUUCCUACAAAUUAGGGAGAACAAACCCAAAUUUUGAACUCUAGAGCUGAAAAGCUCAAAAUAAGAGAUGGUUCCCCUCCCGCUUUUCCCUGUGCAUGCAAUUGAUUCCGUCUCUUUGUAUUGCUAAAACUUUGUUGUAUGUUGGAAAAACACGAAGAAUGGAAGGUUUAUAUACUGAUUGGAAGAACAGAAAAAUGAGGCCACCCAUAAUUUUCAAGACUACUAAACGUCUUCGUAAUCGCAAUCGUAACUGCUGUUGUAUGCAAAUGCCACGAUGUUUGACCCUUCAAAGUCUUAUUUCACAAUUCGUAAUUUUCAGAUUUCCAGUACCUUGUUUGUCAAGGAACUCAAUAAUCAUUAAAUGUUUCCCAACUGCCAAACCAACUAACUUUCCCGCCCGCCGAAAUUGCACUGUGAAAGAUUUAUAGCAUUUUAUUUAUACUCUAGUUUAAUGACAUGAGACUUUCGGUUUGGAUUGCCUAUAUUAUUUUUAGUAAUUUACCUUAUAUCUUUAAAAUUAUUUCAAAAAAAAAACCCAUAAUAUUAAUUAUUAUAUAAGUUGGAUUUAUUAAAUAUUAAAUAACAUAUAAAUUAAUAUUAAUCAUAAAUUCCCAUAAUAUUAAUAAUUACAAAAGAGUACAUUUAUCAAAAAUUAAAUAAUAUAUAAAUUAAUAUAAUUGUAUAAUCAAUUCUAAAUUACACAUUAUUUAAUUAAAUCUAAAAAUAUUUUUAAAAUAUCAAAAUCAAGCCCUAAAUAACUCACCACUUUUUAAAAAAUAUUUAAUAAAAUAUCAAUUAUUUAUCUUCUUAUUAUUUUUUUAUGAUAUAUAGUAGAAUUUAAAGUGAAAUUUUAAAUUAACACACCAAAAAUUGUUUUAGAAGGAAAAAAAAUAUUUUUUUCUGAUAAUAUUUUUUAAAAUAUAUAUAUUUUUAGUCUAAAAUAUUUUUAAAGAAAAAAUCAACCUUUUGAUCAAAUUUUAAAAUAUUAUUAAAAAAUAAAAAUUAUUUAUAAUAUUAAAAAAAUUCAAAAAAAAUAUUUUAAUAAAAACAUUUUAAGUAGAAAUACUAUUUCGUAAGAUACAAGAUAAGAAUCGCACAUAAAAGCAUUAUAAAUUAUUAGAAUCGCAUCGCAUAAAUCAUACUAAAUCUAACAACUAACCAAACUCAUCCUCUCUAAAUUUCAAUUUGGUCUCUUCUCAAUUUAUUUUUGGAUUGCUUUUCAUCUAGAAAUAGCAACCACAUAAAGCAUAGGCCAAAUACUCUAAAAAUAGGUAGAUUUCUCAUUUCUCACAUGUAGCAUCUAGAAAAAAAAACCGGUAGGGUUGGCAGAAAUAUAGGAACCACAUAAAGCAUAGGACAGAUGUUAUAAAGAUAGGCAGAUUUCUCACAUGUUAGCAUCUAGAAAAAAAAACGGGUAUGGGCUGGCAGAAAUAUAGGAAGGUGGUGGUGUGUAACCAAGACUUUCAUUAUCCAAAUUCACAUUCUUAUGGGAAAAACGUGAUUGACUUCGACACUUGAAAAAAAAAAAACAAUGGAAAGAAAAAGGGAAAUCAUCUACCCAAAUACUUGAAUGAUGAAAUCAAAUCUUUGAUCAUAUCUGCUAGUUUGGAAAGUUCAGUUUGACAACUACAUUGAAGAAGAAAAAAAAAAUUAAAACAUUACAGGUUGUUUGUGAUUUAAAAAUAAUUUUUAAUUUUUUAAGAUUUUUAAUAUUAUUUUUGUCAUUAUUUUUCGAAAAUAAUAAUAAUUUUUAAAAAAUAAGAGUUAUUUUUAUCGAUUUUUAAAAAUAAAAAAAAAAUAUAGAUCUGUUUGAUCAUAUUUUCUUAAACUUAUUUUUAAAUUGAUUAAAAUAAAAAAAUAAAAAAAAUAUUAAAAAUACAUAUAAAAAUGGUUUAUUAAUUUAAAAUAUUUUUUAUUUUUUAUCUUCUAUUUUUUCUCAUUAUUUCAUUUUCAUUUUCCACUUCAAAAUUUUCAAUAUUCAACUAUUGAAUUCCGUACACUUUUUUUUUUAAUGAAAAAGAUGAGUUUUGACUUUUGACACUUUUUCAAAAAAGAUGCGUUUUGAUCCCUUCCCUAUAAUAAUAAAAAAAGAAAUAGUAAAUUUAUUGACGUCACUCCAUGCAUCAUCUUCCUUAAAAGUACAAAUCGUCCUCCUCUUCUUCUCUUACUAUGUUUUUUUUUUGUUUUCAAUUUAUUUAAAGAAAAAAAAAAAUCUUUGGUGUCCGGUGGAAUCAAUCGAAUGAACGAGUGGCUUCUAUUAUUACAAAUUUGAAAAUUUGGCUUAUUUUAUUUUUAAAUAUAGAAAAAAGGCUACAUGAUAACUCCAUAAUAUAUGGAACAUGCAUAUGCCACCCUUUUUGACCCUUCAAAUUCUUAUGUUCUCCGUUCAUAAUUUUCACGUGUGUUCAAGGAAGUAGGCAAGCCUACGUUAAACAAUAAAAAAGAUGUUUUAAAUUUUACCAAAAAAAAAAAAAGUCAAAGGAUUUUUUCAAAAGAAUCUUAAGAAGUAAUUGGACAUCUCAAUAAGAAAUUUUUAAAACUAUAAAUGUAAAAUAUUUUGUUGGCAUUUUAUUUAUAAUUUAAUAAACGUUUUCAAACUUUGGGUUUUUGGAUUACAUGUUUGGAUUAGUAAUUGAAAUGUUGGGAAAUAUCAACGAGGUUCGCCAUGAAUAUGGGAUCAAAAGUCAAUAAACGAUGUUUCAUUAGUUAAGGUUGCUGGCUCUCUUGGUCAAACUCCCUAAAAAAAGUUUAAGUUCCAAAAGGUUUGGGUUGAAGCUUGGCUACCACUAGGGUGAAUUCAAUUAAUAUAUGUGCACAAGUAUAUAUUAAAAUCCAUUAUUAAAAAAAUAUUUUAAUAAAUAAAUUAAUUCUACUUAUUUUAUUUAAUUGAUUACUAAAAUAUAAAAACCAUCAUUAUAAUUUUUUAACAAGACUUUUUUUUAUAUCAUUUAUGUGAUAAUUAAAUAUUAAAAAUAUAAAUAGGAUAAAAAAAUGCAUAUAAUUUUGAAUGUUUUUAUUUUAAAAUAUUGAAAAUAUAAAUUUAUUUGAAAAUUGUUAAAAUAUAAUAAUAAUAAUAAUAAUAAUAAUGAAGUUCUAAUAUUUUAUAAAUUAAAAUUAAUUUAAUAAGAUAAAUUAUUAAUAUAAUUUUAAUUAUUUAAAUAAAUCAAUGUCAAUAGCAAAAAGUUGUCACCAUAAGUAAUAAAAUUUUAAAAAUUAAAACUCAAAUAAAAUAUUUUAUAUAAGUCUUAAAAUGUAGUUAAUUUUUUUUAUUUGAAAUGUAAUAAAAUUUUUAAUUUUUAAAAUAAAUGAAUAUAAAUAUAUUAAAGGAAUUUGAGAUCAUUUUUUCUAUAAAAAAAUUUGAUAAAUAUUGUCCUUGACCAUACCUAUGUUAGUUACACCUACAAAAUAACUUUAACAUAUGUUUUUUUACUUAUUUUAUCAUUUAAAACUUUUUUAAAUAUUUUCAUGAAUUUUGAACAAUUUUCGUCUUAUCGAUAUUUCUGAUAUAUCCAUAAAAUUCAAAUACUGAUAUAUUCGUAAAAUCCAAUUAUUGAUAUAUAUAUACAUGUUUAUAGAUAUUUUCAUCUUUGCUUUGGAUGCAUUUUUCUAUUUUUUGUUUUUAAAUAGAAUACUUUAAAUGUAGAGAAAAAUAUAGGAAUUCUUAUAUAAAAAGUAGGUACAUAUCUUGUAUACAUAAAAACACUUUUUAAAUUUUAAAUAAGUAAACAUUUUCACUUCCAAAAAAUUUUAAAGUUUUGAAAAAAAAAUUAAAAUAUAAAGUAAAUUUGGACUUUUUGUAUAAGAGUUGUUAUAUUUUAUAUAGAAAUUUUUAUUUUUAAAAAUAAAAAAUAAGAAGUGUAUCUAAUAGCUAGACACCUAAAGUAUUUUUUUUACAAUUUUAUUUAUACUCUAAUCUAAUGUUUAUAGAUUGAGUUUGUAUUCAAGUUUAUAUUAUGAUCGAUAUAUUAAGGGAUGAAGCUAAAGUAACUACCGAAAUGUUAUUUAGGUGAGAAAUUAUAAAAAUUAUGAUUGUAAUAAAUAUUUGAUAAAUUUUCAUAAUUUAAAAAGUAGUUAACAAUACCCCUCAUUAUUAUUAAACAAAAUAAAAAACAAUGGACAUUAAUUAUAAAAAGAAAAAGAAAAUAUAUCUUAUAUCAAAUUGAAUAAGAAAAAUAUUAAAUACAUUGGUCAAGAAUAUUUUAGAUUUUAUAAAUAAAAAAAAUCAAAAAAUUAAAAGAUUUUUUCUUCAAAAGAAAUUUAAAAAAAAAAAAGUUAAACAUUUCAAUAAGAAACUUCUAAUAAUUUUGUUUUAUUAAAAAAAUCCUAAAAAUAAAUUUUUAAAAAAAUCAAUAAUUCCACUUAUAAAUUUCUUCUCUUUUUCAAAUAGCUAAAGAUAAUUGACUGAGGAAACCUUUCUAAAAAUAUAGUUUGGUGAACUCCACAAGUAAACUAUGAAUAACUAAGAAGAGUUUCGGAGUUAUUGUUUGUAAUUUAUAAAUAUCAUAUUAAGUUAUACAAUUUUUAUAAUUAAAGUUAAAUUCAAUAUCUCGUAAUUUGAGUCAUUACAUAAGAUUGAAUUUAUCAAAUAUUAGAUAACAUAUAAAUUAAUAUUAAUCAUAAAUUCCCAUAAUAUGAAUCAUUACAUAAGAUUACAUCUAUCAAAAAUUAAAUAACAUAUAAAUUCAUACAAUUUUGUUGGCAAUUCUAAAUUAGUGAUUAUUUGAUUAAAUCUCAAAAAAAAAAAUUAAAAAGUCAAAAUCUAGCUAUAAAAAAUUCGCCACUGAAAAAAUUUAAUAAAAUAUUGUUAAAAUAACGAGAAUAGGUAAUUUAAAAAAAACACUAACAGACAAAAAACACAUAAAUUUACGUGAAAAACUCUAAAUGAGAAAAAACACAAGUAGAAAAGACAGAAAUCCAUUAUAUCAAAAUAUUGGUAUAAGAGGGAAAAGUUGCCAGCAAUUACAGAAGAAACAUAAUUAUCCUAAUCCUAAAACUAUACAUCAUCAUAAUCCUCCCAAAAAUCUCAUAAUUAUAGUUUCACUACAUAUGUUGUACCACAAGGUUUUUGAAUCGGAUUAAAUAGAAUUCGGAUUACCAAAUUCUAAUAAAUGUCAACGAUAAAGUUACAAAAAAUUUAUUUAUUAUAAAUUUUAUGGUAUAUAGUGGGAUUUAAAUAAAAUUAAUUAUAUAAAUUUUCAAUAAAAUUAAAUAAAAACAAAUAAAUCAUCGAUAAAACCUAUAUACAUUCAUAUUUAUUUACUUAUUUUUUUUAUUUUGAUCUUCAACAAGUUUUCAAAAAUAAAACAUUCAUUUUUUCAAAUAGAGUUCAAGUGUGACCAUGAUGCAUAUCACCUUUAUGAGAAUUGCAGGCCCACACUCAAAAUUUUAAAUAAAUAUUUUUAAAUAAUAAUAAUAAUAAUAACAACAAAAAGAAUAAUAAUUAAAUAAAUAAAUAUGAAAUGGGAAUUUCGGAAAAUUAUUCUAAAAUGAAAGUUUUAAAAUUAUUUGAGAAAUGGAAUUAUGAAAGGAGUUUUGGAAAAUUGGAGUUAGGAAAAUUGUUAAAAUAAUAAGAAAAUAAAUAAAAAGUCAAAAUCUUAAUGGGGCCAUGUGCCAAAGUGACCACACUUAGAGGUGGGCCAAGGUCGAAAAAGGUUUUCAAAUGAUGUUUGAACAUCCUGGCAGCCCAAAGAAAAAUAAAACAAAAUCUUGCAACGUGCACAUCCAUGAAUUUACAUCUGUGGCCCCACCAUUCAAUAUCACCGCCAAACCAGAAGAAAACCCACAAGUCCGCAGGCCGUCCUAUGCCAUCAGCAAUAAGCACAAGCUCUGAUUUCUCAAAUUACAAAAUAGCCCCACGGAAAGAAAUUCAAUUUCGAAUCUCCACCAAAAACUCCAAUAAUUGCCUAUCGACUUCACCCAAACUGCAAAACACUAAGGCUAUGUUUGAUUUCCGGAAAGUACGAAGGAAAGAAAAAAAAUGCUAAAGAAAAUGAUUUUCUCAUAUUUGAUUAUCCUAUGAAAAAUAUCAAAGAAAAUAAAAUAUAAUUAAAAUUAAUUAAAAAUUUAUAUAUUUUUAAAUUAUUUAAUCUUUAUAUUGAUGAGUUAAAAUAAAUAAAAUGAGUUUGAAGUAACAAAAAAAUAAUUUAUCAACUUUUAAUCUAUUUUUUUAUUUUUCUUCACUUUUUCUUUCCUUCUAGUUUUCCUUUGUAUUUUCUUUCCCUCGUAUUUUCCCUCAAAUUUUCCGGGAACCAAACAUAGCCUAAUAAUUCAACCACCCUCCAGACCACGCGUAGACGCUCCACUUCCACAUAUUUUGGCACGUAUUCUGUCAAGAUUAUUGGAUGCUGCCCAUGAGGCCUGUUAAUUAGUCGAAUGGUUCUCAACCGAGCCUAAAGCUUUGUCGAGUCAUAACCAGCUUCCCCGUGUUGUUGGCUCUCAGUGAGGGAUACUUCGGACUGAAGACCUCUCUACCAUAUCUCUCAUAAUGUAUCAUGGGCAGAGAAGCAAUGGAGAUUGGAUUGAUUCUUCUUGCUUUCAGGAGCUCUAUUAACUCCAAUUCCAACUUAACUGGAAAUUCCGAACCAAUAAGAGUUAUGGGACCCGUACCCACACCGGAAUUUUCUACUAUCGUCUCCGGAUAACACGCCACCGCAUGGGUCAAUCAGGUUCGUUUUGUAUGCUGUCACUGUAAAUACUCUGAAUAAUCCCCCAAAAAUCUCAUAAUUAUAGUUUCACUACAUAUGUCAUACCGCAAACUUUUUGAAUCGUACUAAAUAAAAUUCGGAUCACUAAAUUCUAAUAAAUGUGACAAAGUUACAAAAAGUUUAUUUAUUAUAAUUUUUAUGGUUUAAGUGGGAUUUAAAUAAAAUUAAUUUAAAAUUUUUCAAUAAAAUUAAAUAAAAACAAAAUAAAUCAUCGAUAAAAACUAUAUACAUUCAUAUUUAUUUACUUUUUUUUUUAUUUUGAUCUUCAACAAGUUUUCAAAAAUAAAACAUUCAUUUUUUCAAGGGAGAAUUAUCUUUUGGGGGUAGAUGGGCCCUCAAAUUAACAAAAGGUUCAUAUAACUCUUGAAAUUGAGUUGAAGGAUAUGAAAUAAUAACGGACAAAUAUACCCUUUAGGAACACAUAUAAAAUAUUUUAUAAAAUUAAGUUAAAUAAUUUUUUUUCAAUAACUUUUUUUUUUUCAAAAAUACUAAAUUAAAUAAAAGUAGUUUUCAAAAAUAUUAAAUUAAAUAAUUUUUUUUUUCAAAAAUAUUAAAUUAUUUUUUUUUCAAAAAUAUUAAAUUAAAUUAAAGUAUUUAAAAAAAUAUUAAAUUAAAUAUUUUUUUAAAUAUUAAAUUAAAUAAAUUUAUUUUUAAAAAAUAUUAAAUUAAAUAAAAGUAUUUUAAAAAAUAUUAAAUUAAAUCAAAAAUAUUAAAUUAAAUAAAAGUAUUUUUCAAAAAUAUUAAUUUUUUUCUCAAAAUCAACAAAGGGUAUUUUUGGAAAUAUUGAAAGAUGAUAUCCUUCAACUCAAUUUCUAUACUUUCAUUGGGUCUUGGGCUCAAUUUGAAGAGUUACAUGGACCUUUUGUUAAUUUGGGGGUCCAUCUACCCCCAAAACAUAAUUCUCCUUUUUUUCAAAUAGAGUUUCAAGUGUGACCUUGAUGCAUAUCAUCUCUAUGCGAAAUGCAGGCCCACCCUCAUGGUGUUCUCUAUUCCCUACUAAAAUAAUUAUUCCUUAGUGGAGCUAAAUAUCCCCAACUCAUUGAGGCAUCCCCAACAAUUGUCAUUAUUACAUCCUUUAUUUCCCAACAACUUUCAUGAAGAGGUAAAGGUACUUUGACAUUCUGCCUAAUAUAGCCAUGGUAAGGCUUCUUAUGAGCAUUUUGCAGUUUGGUUUGUGUAUGGGGAUCAAGCAACUUUUUAAUGUAGAGAAGACUAUACAUUGUGCUAGCAGAUUCUUCAAUGCAAACAUGUUAAUAUAAGAAUACAAACCUUAUAUUUUUAUCUACCAUAUAUUGAUAGGGAUAUUCCAAAUAGUUUCCAAUAUUCUAUAAGAUAUUUAAUUGUAAUGACAUAUACUUAGGAAUUUGAGAUACUUUCUAAUAAUUUUAGUCUCGUAUCAAAUUCAAUUAAGUUAAUCUUUCAUCUUUUCAUGAUACACGCUUUCAAAAGACUUGUUUUAACCAAAUUCUAACUCCACAUCAUGACCAAAUCUUUACUUCACAUCAUAACUUCUUUAUACGCCACACUCUCCUCAUGUGUCACAUGGUUCCUUUUGUGCACCUCAUGUGUCACAUGGUUCCUUUUGUGCACUAUAGUCUUAUCAUGUGUCACGAUUCCCUCGUGUGCUAUGGAUUUAAAAUCAUUUUUUUCCAUUUUAAACAUGUUAUUUCUUUAUAGCAUUUACUGUCUUUUUCAUUCAAGUUUCCUUUUCCUUUACUUUUAGUAGGACAUUGUUAUAAAACUCUACCUCUCACUUGGUCCGUAGGUUCCUUAUUACACUACCAACACACGCUCUAUUCAAAUUAUAGUCUAGUCUCAAUGUUAAUUUUGCAGAGUUAGACGAUACCCUUACGUGUAUUUCACCCUUGUUUGGAUGGCAAAAAAAAGUUUAGGAACUCACAACGAAGUAGGGAUUGAUGUUGAAUUUGUUAUGGGAUGAUGAAUAGAAUACUUUCCUUCUUACUCCUCUAUUCUACAUAAAUGCACAUACGGACAAGUUCGGUAUAAGUUUGUACUAACUCAAUUGGUAAGUGUCACUUUUUUAAUUAAUAGAUGUUGACAAUUUUGUCUUAAAUUAUAUAUUUUAGUUUUAGGAAAAUCGGUAUAUGUAGAGUUUAGCUUUUAGAAAACUCCCUUUUUAGGUUGACUAAGACUAGGAACUUAUUGUUUAGGAUUAGGUCUAUAAAUAUGUGGCCUACAUAGGAUUUUUUUAAGAGAGUGAAAAGAAAGUAAGUGCAUCCAAUUAAGUGAAAUUGUGUCCUUUUUCAUAUUUAGUAGAUUAUUUAACGUUUGAGAGACCACAUUUGUGUGACUGAUUUAUUUAUAUUUGCAUAAGAAUUUUACUCUCUUUAAAGAAUAAGUAUAAAGAGACAAACUUAAAAUAGGUAAUAAAAUAUUAAUUUGGGGAUUAAUUCAAAGACCACACCUUCUCUAUUUCACUUUAUUUUUUUACUGCAUUUGGAUGUUGUGAUUUUCCUAAAAAGUGGUAUCAGAGCCGUGCAGAGAUAAUGGAAAAAUUAUUUUGAUGAAAAUGUCUAACAUAAAAUAUAAUAUUGAGUUCUUUGAUGGAAAUAAUAAUUUUAGUAUUUGGCAAAGUAUUAUUAAAGAUAUUUGGGUACAACAAGAACUUCUCAAAGUGUCACAAUAAAAAAAAAAAAAAAAAAAUCAGAGAACAUGAAGAUUAAUUAGAAGCAAGAAUGGUAAGUGCUAUUUAUCUAAUUUUGAUUCCUAAAAUAAAAUACAUUUUUUAAAAAUGAGAGAUCUCUUUUUUAUUUAUGAGAAAAUUUAGAGAAAAUUUAUAAGCCAAAAUUCUUAACACAUAAAUUAUAUUUGAAGAAACAAUUAUAUGAGUUGAAGAUAGAUGAAGGAACAAAUGUUAGGAAUCAUACAAAUAAAUUCAAUAAAUGCAUGACUUAGUUAUUAAGGGUAGUGGUCAAGAUUGAUAAGAAUGAUCAAGCUAUUAUUUUCUUAGUGUCUUUACGAAAUUAUAUGAGACAUUGGUGAGUACACAAUUAGUUAGAAAGAUGAUAUUAACCAUUAAUGAUCUAUCAACUACCCUUUAAAUAUUGACCAACCAAGUAAUUCGUCUUGUACCGCACAAGCUUUUGUGGUGAAGUUUGAAUCAAAUCGUGAUAAGAGUAAAUCACAAGGAAGAUAUUAUGAUAUGAGGGAUGAUUGUUCUCAACCACACUUCUAGAGGGAUGUGGAGUUUUACUAUUGCCUCAAAAAAUGACAUAUCAAAAAGUACUAUAAAGAAUUGACAAAACACUUAGAAUCAAAGAGGUAAGCUAAAUUCUAGGAGACUUCAAAUUUUACUAAUAUUGUUGAUAAAAAGUUUGAUACAGAUAAUGUUGUUCUUUUUAUUAUAAUUGAUGAUUUUUUUUUUUUUUUUUUUUACUUUUAGAUUUUGGAUUUUGAAUGUUCUUUUCAUAUGUACCCAUAUUAUAAGUGGUUUGAUACCUAUAAGACUUGCGAUGCUAUUACUAUUAUAAUGGGCAAUGAUUCAAACUAUAAAGCUAUUGGGAUUAGUAUUGGGAAGGUGAAGAUAUUGGAUGGUGUUGUGAGGAUAUUGAGUAAUGUUAAGUAUGCUCCUAAGUCGAGGGGGAGUUCAAUUUCUUUGAAGACUUUGGACAAUUUCAACCAUGACUUUUUUGCUAAAGAAGACAUUAUGAAUAUUAGUAAAGGUGCUUUGAUAAUUAUGAAGGAAGAAAGGUGAAAAUUUCAUACACUUUGAUUGAGAAUACAAUUUUAGAUGCAAUUAUGAUGGUGAAGUCAUGCCAUGAAGUGUCUUAUGCUAGUGUUAAAGAAAUUGUCAUAGCAGAAGAGCACAAAAAAAUACUGGUAGUAGAUGAAAAACACAGAAGUGAGAUGAUCAAGGCUUUGUUUUUGGUUAAAAAUACUUAGUGGCACAAAGAUAAAGACUAAUUGAAAAAGAAAAGUUAUGAAAAAAAGAAUGUUCAUCGAGUCAAAGCUAAUGAGAGACUGAACUUGACAUAUACUUAUUCUCAUUGAUUAUGUGGUGGUGGCAAGGGGUGCAAAGAUGGGUAUCAAGGAAAAAUAACCCUACAUAUAGAUUGAGAAUUUGAAUCAAGAUGGAGAUUAUUAGUAAUUUUGACUUAAAUUAUUUAUUUUUUAUUUUUAGGAAAGCCAAUAUUUGUUGAGUUUAGGUUUUAGUAAAUUACUUUUUUAAAUUUGACUAGGAUUAGGAAACUUAUUUUUAAGGUUAGGUAUAUAAAUAUAUGGUUUUACAUUAGAUUUUAGGAGAAAGUGAAAAAAUGAGCGAAAAAUAUAGAAAGAUAGACAAAUUAUGUAUUGGGUUUUGGUAGAGUGACGUUGAGAAGGUUUGAGUAUAUAUUUUUUAAGUUACUAAUAAAUUUGAUCUCUCUCUCCCAUGAAAUCAUGUAAAUCUUUUAUCUUCUCUAUUUUACUUUAUUCUUUAUAUUGUCUUUGGGUGUUGCAAUUUCCCAAUAAUAGAAUGGUUUGAUCUUAUUUUGUUUCUAAGUAAAAUGUAAAUAAGUUAUCAGGUUAGCAAAUUAUUCAUAUACAUUAUUUUUUUUAGUCAUAUCAUCCAUGAACUUUUUCAAGGUGGCAACCUAUUUGGAAAAACCACAUUUGAUUUAAAAAAAGGAGAAUUGUGUUUUGGGCCAAUUGGGCUCAAAAAUUAAUCAAAGAUCCAUAUAUCAUGCACAUUUAAGCCCAAGACUCAAAUAAAGUGUAAAAAAUUAAGUUGAAUGAUAUUAUCCUUCGUUAAUCCCUCAAAUACCCUUAACACCUACAUAGAUAUAUAGUAAGUGUAAAUUUCAAUUUUUUUUUAAGUGUUUUUUUCUCUUUUCUAUUCCCAAUUAAGUAUUACUCAUUUCUAACUUUUUGUUUUUUCUUUUCUUUUUUAAAGAUAUUGAAUCUUUUUACUCUUAUUAUAAGUAAGGAUAAAAAAUCUUCAUAUAAAAUUUAAUGGAUAAUCAAUGAAUAAAAUUUAAUUCUUUUUAUUAUUUUCAUAUAAAAAAUAGUACUAAACAAGGGUUUCAAUUUUUAUUUUUAAAAAUAGUUUUCAUUUUUUAAUUAAAUGUUUUUUCAAAAAGAAAUAUAAAAAUAUAAAUCAUAUUACCAUUUUUUAGAAAGUAUUUUUUUUAAAUAGUUUUUGAACGUAAUUUUUCUUUAUUUAUAAUUUAAAAUAGAAAAUAAUGUUGAUUUCAAUUAUUUAAAAAAAAUUAAAAAAAAACAAUGAAAAAUCCAAAUGGUUAAAAUAGAAUUAUUAUGAUUGCAUGAAUCGUAGUGCUAUAAAGACCAAAAAAGUUUAUAUGAAAAGUUAAUGAGUAUUUUGAUCUUUUGAUAUCUUAUAUCAUUUCCAUCAAUUAUGUAAGUUAUAUGGACGAAAUCUUAAUUUUUUUGUCUAACUCGCUCAAAAUUCCAUUAUCCCUUUAAAAAAUAAAAUAAAAAUCAAAUCCUCCUUAAACAAAGGAAAGAAAAAGAAACAACAAAUCUUGAAGUGAGGUUUCAACAGAUCUUUGUUCAAUAAAGCAGCCAAGCAUUAUGGGGCUUAGUUGAAAGUACUCAUUUUCAUGAGUCCAAACAAUGAAAGAUUUGAUAUCCAGAAGCAUUCACCUAGUCAAAAAAUUUAAUGAGUUUUUCAGCUUGGUAGAGUCAGGUCAAAUCCACAUGUAGUGAUUCUACAAUUCAGAAUAUAACUGCUUCACUUGGAAAUGAUCAUCAGGAUACCAAUGCAUGAGCACCAAAUCUUCUGAACUACUUUUCUUCAUGUGUCCAGCGUAUAAGUAGAAAAUGGAUCAGUAAGUGCAGGCAUGGAACUGUUGGCAAUAAGUCUGAUCUCUCUGAAGAAGGCCUAAGCUUCCCUUUUUGCUAGUUCAAGUCUAUAGAUGUAAUAGUUCUUGGAAAUGGUAUCUGAUUUCAGACUGGUUGGUGUUGAAACCAUACCAUUUUCUUGCUGUCAUUGUGUCUUAAUGUUUUCAGCUACUUAAAGAAGAGACUGAAAGUGGGGCACCAUAGUGGUAAGUUGGUAAUCGGGGAUGAAAGAAAUGCUCAAGGUUGUAUCAGUCUUGAAUUUCAAAUUGCAUAAAAUUGGCAGAAAAAAAAAUACAAGAAUUUAAUAAGAUAGAUGUUACCUGCUCAUUGCAGGGCUAUGAAAACUCUCUAAUAGCCUAUACAUCAAACGAAACCAGUUUUUUUCAUCUUAAAAUCAAAUGUGGAACUGAAAAGGUUACACACAUAUACAUUAACCAAGAGUCUCUGAAGAACUUUUGCUCCGUGUGACUUCUUAUCGCCUUUGGAAGUUCAAUGCCUUAAUGGCAUAGGCAAAGAUAAAUAAGAAAAGCACCACAAACCCAACGACCACAGCUGCAACCACUCCUAGGAAAUCAUGUUUGAAUCCAAAGUAGUCAUUCAAGUAGUCUUUCACUGUUACACCUGUGUUUAGUUCUUCUGUUAUAUCUCCAAACUGUGAUGUAACCAAUCCAUACAAAGUCCAUGAAACUGGGCAUAUCCAAUAGUACCAUCUCCACCACACGGGUAUUCUCUGUAUUCAUCAAGGAAGAAAUGCAUCAAAAUGAGUCAUUCCUGUAUCCAUGUGGCUAAAGAAAGUUGCAAUUUAAAGAACUAUGGGUUGAGAGCACUUACAUUUCGUGGGACUAUAAAACCUGAAAAGAGGUUCCACAAUCCAUAAAAUGCUGCGGCAACAAUGGAAGCGAUAUUUUGAUUUGGUGUGGCAGCCACAGCCAUCAUGCCAUAGAAGGUGAAGUACAUUAAGGUGAAGAACAUGAAAAACAGAUACCAGAAGAACUUAGCGGCUGUCCAUUGAAAUCCAAUCAUUGCAUAAACUAUAAGACCAUACACCACGGCUUGUGAAAAGAUAUAUGGUAUCUCAACU